rnacentral:rRNA from 1 species
GGGUUGUGAGGUUAAGCGACUAAGCGUACACGGUGGAUGCCCUGGCAGUCAGAGGCGAUGAAGGACGUGCUAAUCUGCGAAAAGCGUCGGUAAGGUGAUAUGAACCGUUACAGCCGGCGAUGUCCGAAUGGGGAAACCCAGUGCAAUUCGUUGCACUAUCGUUAACUGAAUACAUAGGUUAACGAGGCGAACCGGGGGAACUGAAACAUCUAAGUACCCCGAGGAAAAGAAAUCAACCGAGAUUCCCCCAGUAGCGGCGAGCGAACGGGGAGCAGCCCGGAGUCUGAAUCAGCUUGUGUGUUAGUGGAAGCGUCUGGAAAGUCGCAGGGUACAGGGUGAUACUCCCGUACACUAAAACGCACAGGUUGUGAACUCGAAGAGUAGGGCGGGACACGUGGUAUCCUGUCUGAAUAUGGGGGGACCAUCCUCCAAGGCUAAAUACUCCUGACUGACCGAUAGUGAACCAGUACCGUGAGGGAAAGGCGAAAAGAACCCCGGCGAGGGGAGUGAAAAAGAACCUGAAACCGUGUACGUACAAGCAGUAGGAGCCCACUUGUUGGGUGACUGCGUACCUUUUGUAUAAUGGGUCAGCGACUUAUAUUCUGUAGCAAGGUUAACCGUAUAGGGGAGCCGCAGGGAAACCGAGUCUUAACUGGGCGUUAAGUUGCAGGGUAUAGACCCGAAACCCGGUGAUCUAGCCAUGGGCAGGUUGAAGGUUGGGUAACACUAACUGGAGGACCGAACCGACUAAUGUUGAAAAAUUAGCGGAUGACUUGUGGCUGGGGGUGAAAGGCCAAUCAAACCGGGAGAUAGCUGGUUCUCCCCGAAAGCUAUUUAGGUAGCGCCUCGUGAACUCAUCUUCGGGGGUAGAGCACUGUUUCGGCUAGGGGGUCAUCCCGACUUACCAACCCGAUGCAAACUACGAAUACCGAAGAAUGUUAUCACGGGAGACACACGGCGGGUGCUAACGUCCGUCGUGAAGAGGGAAACAACCCAGACCGCCAGCUAAGGUCCCAAAGUCAUGGUUAAGUGGGAAACGAUGUGGGAAGGCCCAGACAGCCAGGAUGUUGGCUUAGAAGCAGCCAUCAUUUAAAGAAAGCGUAAUAGCUCACUGGUCGAGUCGGCCUGCGCGGAAGAUGUAACGGGGCUAAACCAUGCACCGAAGCUGCGGCAGCGACACUAUGUGUUGUUGGGUAGGGGAGCGUUCUGUAAGCCGUUGAAGGUGGCCUGUGAGGGUUGCUGGAGGUAUCAGAAGUGCGAAUGCUGACAUAAGUAACGAUAAUGCGGGUGAAAAACCCGCACGCCGGAAGACCAAGGGUUCCUGUCCAACGUUAAUCGGGGCAGGGUGAGUCGACCCCUAAGGCGAGGCCGAAAGGCGUAGUCGAUGGGAAACAGGUUAAUAUUCCUGUACUCGGUGUUACUGCGAAGGGGGGACGGAGAAGGCUAUGUUGGCCGGGCGACGGUUGUCCCGGUUUAAGCAUGUAGGCGGAUGUUCCAGGUAAAUCCGGAACGUCACUAACGCUGAGGUGUGAUGACGAGGCACUACGGUGCUGAAGUGACAAAUGCCCUGCUUCCAGGAAAAGCCUCUAAGCAUCAGGUAACAUCAAAUCGUACCCCAAACCGACACAGGUGGUCAGGUAGAGAAUACCAAGGCGCUUGAGAGAACUCGGGUGAAGGAACUAGGCAAAAUGGUGCCGUAACUUCGGGAGAAGGCACGCUGAUGGUAGGUGAAGCGACUUGCUCGUGGAGCUGAAAUCAGUCGAAGAUACCAGCUGGCUGCAACUGUUUAUUAAAAACACAGCACUGUGCAAACACGAAAGUGGACGUAUACGGUGUGACGCCUGCCCGGUGCCGGAAGGUUAAUUGAUGGGGUUAUCCGUAAGGAGAAGCUCUUGAUCGAAGCCCCGGUAAACGGCGGCCGUAACUAUAACGGUCCUAAGGUAGCGAAAUUCCUUGUCGGGUAAGUUCCGACCUGCACGAAUGGCGUAAUGAUGGCCAGGCUGUCUCCACCCGAGACUCAGUGAAAUUGAACUCGCUGUGAAGAUGCAGUGUACCCGCGGCAAGACGGAAAGACCCCGUGAACCUUUACUAUAGCUUGACACUGAACACUGGUCCUUGAUGUGUAGGAUAGGUGGGAGGCUUUGAAGUGUGGACGCCAGUCUGCAUGGAGCCAUCCUUGAAAUACCACCCUUUAAUGGCUGGUGUUCUAACGUGGGCCCCUAAUCGGGGUUGCGGACAGUGUCUGGUGGGUAGUUUGACUGGGGCGGUCUCCUCCUAAAGAGUAACGGAGGAGCACGAAGGUCAGCUAAUCCUGGUCGGACAUCAGGAGGUUAGUGCAAUGGCAUAAGCUGGCUUGACUGCGAGCGUGACGGCGCGAGCAGGUGCGAAAGCAGGUCAUAGUGAUCCGGUGGUUCUGAAUGGAAGGGCCAUCGCUCAACGGAUAAAAGGUACUCCGGGGAUAACAGGCUGAUACCGCCCAAGAGUUCAUAUCGACGGCGGUGUUUGGCACCUCGAUGUCGGCUCAUCACAUCCUGGGGCUGAAGUAGGUCCCAAGGGUAUGGCUGUUCGCCAUUUAAAGUGGUACGCGAGCUGGGUUUAGAACGUCGUGAGACAGUUCGGUCCCUAUCUGCCGUGGGCGCUGGAGAAUUGAGGGGGGCUGCUCCUAGUACGAGAGGACCGGAGUGGACGCAUCACUGGUGUUCGGGUUGUCAUGCCAAUGGCAUUGCCCGGUAGCUAAAUGCGGAAGAGAUAAGUGCUGAAAGCAUCUAAGCACGAAACUUGCCCCGAGAUGAGUUCUCCCUGACUCCUUGAGAGUCCUGAAGGAACGUUGAAGACGACGACGUUGAUAGGCCGGGUGUGUAAGCGCAGCGAUGCGUUGAGCUAACCGGUACUAAUGAACCGUGAGGCUUAACCUUACAACGCCGAAG